rnacentral:rRNA from 1 species
GACAGAGGGUGCAAACGUUGCUCGGAAUUACUGGGCGUAAAGCGCGUGUAGGCUGACCGGAAAGUUGGGCGUGAAAGCCCUGGGCUCAACCCAGGAAUUGCACUCAAAACUACCGGUCUCGAGUGAUGGAGAGGGAAGUGGAAUUCUCGGUGUAGAGGUGAAAUUCGUAGAUAUCGAGAGGAACACCAGUGGCGAAGGCGGCUUCCUGGACAUCAACUGACGCUGAGACGCGAAAGCGUGGGUAGCAAACAGG